UACAGAGGUGGCAAGCGUUGUUCGGAAUUACUGGGCGUAAAGGGCGCGUAGGCGGCCUUCUAAGUCAGACGUGAAAUCCCCAGGCUUAACUUGGGAACUGCGUCUGAUACUGGGAGGCUUGAGUGCGGGAGAGGGAUGUGGAAUUCCAGGUGUAGCGGUGAAAUGCGUAGAUAUCUGGAGGAACACCGGUGGCGAAGGCGGCAUCCUGGACCGACACUGACGCUAAAACGCGAAAGCGUGGGGAGCAAACAGG
rnacentral:rRNA from 1 species